rnacentral:tRNA from 1 species
GGUUGUGGCUCAGUGGUAGAGCAUACGCUUUGAACGUGUGAGGCACUGGGUUCGAUCCUAAGCACCA